GAGGAAAGUCCGGGCUCCAUAGGGCAAGGUGCCAGGUAACGCCUGGGGGGUGUCACAGCCCACGACCAGUGCAACAGAGAGCAAACCGCCGAUGGCCCGCGCAAGCGGGAUCAGGUAAGGGUGAAAGGGUGCGGUAAGAGCGCACCGCGCGGCUGGUAACAGUCCGCGGCACGGUAAACUCCACCCGGAGCAAGGCCAAAUAGGGGUUCAUAAGGUACGGCCCGUACUGAACCCGGGUAGGCUGCUUGAGCCAGUGAGCGAUUGCUGGCCUAGAUGAAUGACUGUCCACGACAGAACCCGGCUU
rnacentral:RNase_P_RNA from 1 species